rnacentral:tRNA from 1 species
GUAUAAAUAGUUUAUAAAAAAUGUAGGAUUGUGGUGCCUGAGAAGUAUUAAAAAUACUUUGUAUA